rnacentral:rRNA from 1 species
AUAAUACUCCAUAGAUUAGAGACACUGGAAUGUUCUUUAGUCGAAAGUUCUGGCGCCUUAGGAUGGAUCUGCGGUCGAUUAGGUUGUUGUUGGGGUAACGGCCCAACAAGCCUGUAAUCGAUACGGGUUGUGGGAGCAAGAGCCCGGAGAUGGAAUCUGAGACACGAUUCCAGGCCCUACGGGGCGCAGCAGGCGCGAAAACUUUACAAUGCAGGAAACUGUGAUAAGGGAACUCCGAGUGCCCGUAUACGCGGGCUGUCCAGGUGUUUAAAAAUCAUCUGAAGAAAGGGCCGGGCAAGACCGGUGCCAGCCGCCGCGGUAAUACCGGCGGCUCGAGUGGUGGCCACUAUUAUUGGGCUUAAAGCGUCCGUAGCUGGACCGAUAGUCUCUUGGGAAAUCCGCCGGCUCAACCGGCGGGCGUCUAAGGGAUACUGUUAGUCUAGGGACCGGGAGAGGUGAGAGGUACUCCGGGGGUAGGAGUGAAAUCCUGUAAUCCCCGGGGGACCACCGAUGGCGAAGGCAUCUCACCAGAACGGCUCCGACAGUGAGGGACGAAAGCUGGGGGAGCGAACCGGAUUAGAUACCCGGGUAGUCCCAGCCGUAAACUAUGCGCGUUAGGUGU